rnacentral:lncRNA from 1 species
GCUCCUGUGGCACAUGGAGGUUCUUAGGCUAGGGGUCCAGUCAGAACUGGAGCCACCAGCCUACACCAGAGCCACAGCAACAUGGGAUCCGAGGUGCAUCUGCGACCUAUACCACAGUUCAUGGCAACCCCAGAUGCUUAACCCCCUGAGCGAGGCCAGGGAUACAACCCACAUCCUCAUGAAUGCUAGCCAGGUUUGUUAACCUCUGAGCCAUGAUGGGAACUCCAUUAUGGCUGUUUUAACAAUAUUAAUUCUUCCAGUCCAGGAUAAUGGACUAUUUUUCCAUUUCUUUGAAUCCUGUUUAAUUUCCUUGAUUAAUGUUUUAUAAUUCUCAACAUAUAAUAAGUCUUUUACCUCCUUGGUCAGGUUUAUUCCUAGGUAUUUAUUUUUUGGGGGUGUGAUUUUAAAAGGUAUUUAUUUUUAUAUUCCUUUUGUAAUAUUUAAUUUUUAGUUUACAGAAAUGCAAUGCAUUUCUGAAUGUUAAUCUUGUAUCCUGCUACUUUGUGGAAUUCAUUGAUCAGUUUGAGUAGUUUUUUAAUUUUAAUUUUAAUUUUUUGCUUUUGAGGGCCACACCUGUGGCAUAUGGAGGUUCCCAGGCUAAGUGUUGGAACUACAGACACUGGCCUACACCACAGCCAUAACAGUGUGGGAUCCGAGCCACAUCUGUGACCUACUCCACAGCUCAGGGCAGUGCUGGAUCCCCGACCCACUGAGCAAGGCCAGGGAUUGAACCUGCAACCUUAUGGCUCCUAGUCAGAUUUGUUUCUGCUGUACUACAAUGGGAACUCCAAGUUUGAGAAGUUUUUGUGUGGAGUCCUUAGGGUUUUCUAUAUAUAGUAUCAUGUCAUUGGCAUAUAGUGACAAAUUUACCUCUUCUCUUCCAAUUUGGAUACCUUUUAUUCUUUGUUUGUCUGAUUGCUGUGGCUAGGACUUCCAAUACUAUGUUGAAUAAAAAUGGUGAGAAUGGGUAUCCUUGUCUUGUUCCAGAUUUUAGUGGGAAGGCUUUUAGCUUUUCUCUGUUGAGUAUUAUAUUUGCUGUGGGUUUGUCAUAAAUGGCUUUUAUUAUGUUAAGAUAUGUUCUUUCUAUACCCACUUUGGUAAGACUUUUUAUCAUGAAUGAAUGUUGGAUUUUGUCAUAUGCCUUUUCUGCAUCUAUUGAGAUGAUCGUGUGGUUUUUGACUUUUGUAAUGUGUGUGAUAUUGAUUGAUUUGCAUGUUUUGAUAUGUCCUUGUGAACCUGGUGUGAAUCCCACUUGGUCGUGGUGUAUGAUCUUUUUAAUAUGUUUUUGGAUUUGGUUGACUAAAAUUUUGUUGAGAAUUUUUGCGUCUAUAUUCUUCAAGGAUACUGGCCUGUAAUUUUCUUUUUUUGGUGGUAUCUUUGUCUAGUUUUGGUAUUAGGGUGAUGGCCUCAUAGAUUGUCUUUGGGAGUACGCCUUCUUUUUUAACCUUUUGGAAAAGUCUAAGAAGAAUCGGUAUAACUUCUUCUUUGAAUGAUUGGUAGAAUUUGCUUGGGAAGCCAUCUGAUCCUGGACUUUUGUUUGUAGGGAGUGUUUUUAUAACAUUCAAUUCAUUUCUAGUGAUCAGUCUGUUCAAAUGAUCUCUUUCUUCUUGAUUCAGUUUUGGUGGGUUGUAUGUCUCUAGAAAGUUGUCCAUUUCUUCUACGUUGUCAAAUUUGUUGGCAUAUAAUUGUUCAUAGCAUUGUCUUGUGUUUUUUUGUAUUUCUGCAGUAUCCGCUGAGAUAUCUCCUUUUUCAUUUUUUAUUUUGUUUUAGUUCUUUUUCUCUUCUUAUUGGUGGGUCUGGCCAGAGGUUUGUCAAUUUUGUUUACCCUUUCAAAGAACCAGUUGUUGGUUUUAUUGAUUUUUUUUUCUUUUUUGAAUCUCUAUUCUAUUAAUUUCCUCUCUGAUCUUUAUGAUUGCCUUCCUUCUGCUGGCUGUAGGUUUUGUUUGUUCUUUUUCUAAUUCUUUUAAGUGGUAGGUUAAGUUGUUGAUUUGAGAUUUUUCUUCUUUUCUAAGGAAGGAUUGUAUCACUAUGAACUUCUCUCUAAGGACUGCUUUUGGGGCUGCCCAUAGAUUUUCAAUGGUUGUGUUUUCAUUAUCAUUUGUCUUGAGGUAUUUUUUAAUUUCCCUUUUGAUUUCCUCCUUGAACCAUUAAUUUUUUAGUAGCAUGUUGUCACUUUUUUUCUCAUUUCUUUUCCUCUGGUUGAUCUCUAGUUUCAGAUUUCUUAUGGUCAGAGAGGAUACUUGAAAUAAUUUCUAUACUUUUAAAUUUGUUGAGGUUAGUUUUGUGCCCCAGCAUGUGGUCAAUCCUUGAGAAUGUUCCAAAUGCAUUUGAAAAGAAUGUAUAUUCUGAUUUUUUUGGAUGUAAUGUCCUGAAAAUAUCAAUUAAGUCUAACUUUUCCAUUGUGUCAUUUGGGAUCUCUGUUGACUUACUGAUUUCUGUCUAGAGGAUCUGUCCAUUGAUGUGAGUGGGGUGUUAAAGUCUGCUACUAUUAUUGUACUCCCAUCACUUUCUUCUUUUAUGUCUGUUAGUUUUUGUUGUAUGUAUUUGGGUGCUCCUGUGUAGGGGCAUAUAUAUUGAAUGUAAUAUCCUCUUCUUGAGUCGAUCAUUUCAUUAUUAAACAGUAUCCUUCUUUGUCUUUCUUUAUGGCCUUUGUUUUAAAGUCUAUUUUGUCUGAUACAAAGAUUGCAACCUUUCUUGUCAUUUGCCCUAAGGUGAGUCUCUUAUAGGCAGCGUAUUGUAGGCUCUUAUUUUUUUAAUCCAGUCUGCCACUCUGUGUCUUUUUUUUUUUUUUUUUUUGUCUUUUUUUUGUUGUUGUUGUUGUUGCUAUUUCUUGGGCCGCUCCCGCGGCAUAUGGAGGUUCCCAGGCUAGGGGUUGAAUCGGAGCUGUAGCCACCGGCCUACGCCAGAGCCACAGCAACGUGGGAUCUGAGCCGCGUCUGCAACCUACACCACAGCUCACGGCAACGCCGGAUCCUUAACCCACUGAGCAAGGGCAGGGGCCGAACCCGAAACCUCAUGGUUCCUAGUCGGAUUCGUUAACCACUGCGCCACGACGGGAACUCCCACUCUGAGUCUUUUGAUUGCAGCAUUCAGUCCAUUAACAUUUGAGGAAAUUAUUGAUAAAUAUGUAUUUAUUGCCAUUUUAAACCUUGUUUUCCAUUUGAUUCUAUGUUUCUCCUUUGUUCCUUUUGUCUUUGUUGUUGGAUGAUUUCCUUUUAUUUUAUGCUUCUGUCCUGCCCUUUUUAGUUUUUGUGAAUGUAUUAUUUGGUUUUGAUUUGUGGUUGCCCUAUUUUUCAAGUAUGUUAACCCCUUCCUUUAUCUGCUUGCUUUAGCCUGAUCAUCAUAGAGCCUCAAACACAUUCUAAAAAAAAGGGUCUAGAUUUUCUUACUUUGCUUCCCCAAUAUUUUAUGAUUCUGAUGUCCUUUUUAACAUCUUCAUGUUUAGCCUUUUGCUGUUCCUUGUGUUUAUCAUCUCUUAAAAUAGGUUGGUUUUUUUUUUUUUCCCCCUUUAGAUCUGUAUACUGGCUUAUUUAAGUGAUUUCUCUUCAGUUGUGAUUUCCUCAUCUAUUUCUUCAUACUUCUUUUUGUGGGGGUUGGUAAAGGAGAAAAAGAUAGCGUUCUUGCUUUGCUAGGCAAAGAGGGCCACACCAGAAUAAUGCCUCAAAGACUGUGCCCUCCCUCCUUGGAAUGAUUUAGGAAGUGGUUUUAUAGUUUGGGGUGUGGAAAAUGGGGCUGUAGAUAAGGAUCAGGGCAGAGGCAAGCUUGCAUUGUCUCUUAAAGCUGGUAGUUUUUUUUUGUUUGUUUGUUUUUUUGUCUUUUUAGGGCCACAUCCGCAGCAUAUACAAGUUCCCAGGCUAGGGGUCAAAUCGGAGCUGUAGCUGCCAGCCUACACCACAGCAAAAGCAACGUGGGAUCUGAGCCAUGUCUUUGACCUACACCACAGCUCAUGCAACGCCUGGAUCCUUAACCUACUGAGCAAGGCCAGGGAUCGAACCUGCAUCCUCAUGGAUGCUAGUCCGAUUUGUUUCCACUGAGCCAUGAUGGGAACUCCUUCAAAGCUUUGUUUAGUGACCCACAGAACUGGUUCUGGUGGUCCUGCUUCUUCCCGGAAUGAAGAAUGCUUCAUUAAGUAGGUCUUCCAUUUGUUGGGGGUUUUAGUUCCAGUAUCUGGACUUACAGAGGUUUGGGUUCUUUGUACUUCUGUGCAGAAGGAAUUCAGUGAGAAACAAAGUAAUAGGCAAGAAAUAGAUUCAUUAGGCUAGGAUGUUUGUGAGAGAUGCAAGUGGGCAGGCGAGGAGGCUCUGCCGUCUUUUUUUUUUUUUUUUUUUUUUUUUUUUUUUAAUUUUCCCACUGUACAGCAAGGGGGUCAGGUUAUCCUUACCUGUAUACAUUACAAUUACGUUUUUUCCCCCACCCUUUGUUCUGUUGCAACUUGAGUAUCUAGACAUAGUUCUCAAUGCUAUUCAGCAGGAUCUCCUUGUAAAUCUAUUCUAAGUUGUGUCUGAUAAGCCCAAGCUCCCGAUCGGCUCUGCCUUCUUACUACUUUUUUAUUUAGAGAAACCCUUACAAUAUUUCUUGUAGAAUGGAUUUAGUGUUGCUGUACUCUUUUAGUUUUUUUGUUGUUGGAGAAAUUUUUUUUUUUUCUGGUCUUUUUGCCAUUUCUUAGGCCUCUCCCGUGGCAUGUGGAGGUUCCCAAGCUAGGGGUCAAAUCGGAGCUGCAACCGCCAGCCUACACCAAAGCCACAGCAACAAGGGAUCUGAGCCACGUCUGCAACCUACACCACAGCUCACGGCAACGCCGGAUCCUCAACCCACUGAGCAAGGCCAGGGACCGAACCCGCAACCUCUUGGUUCCUAGUGGGAUUUGUUAACCACCGAGCCACAACGGGAACUCCGAGAAAUUCUUUAUUUCUCCUUCUAUUUUAAAUGCCAUUCUUCCUGGGUAGAUUAUUCUAGGCUGCAAAUUUUUCCCUUUUAGAACUUUGACUAUGAAUAUAUCUUGCUACUCUUUUCGGGCCUGAAGUGUUUCUGUAGAGAAAUAAGCUGAUAGCUUAUUUAUAAGGUUCUCUCAUAAUUAACUCUUUGUUUUUCUCUUACUGCCUUUAGAAUCCUCUCUUUAUCCUUAACUUGUGCCAUUUUUAUUAUGAUAUGUCUUAGUGUGGGCCUGUUUGGAUUCAACUUGUUUGGGGUCCUCUGUGCUUCCUGUAUCUUGAUAUUUGUUUCCUUUAGAUUUGAAAUUUUUCAGCCAUAAUUUCUUCAAAUAUAUUUUCAAUCCCCCUUUCUUUUUAUUCUCUUCCUGGAAGCCUAUUAUGCAUAGAUUGGCCUGCUUUAUAUUAUCCCAUAGAUUGCAUAUUGCUUUCAUGUUUUUUCAUUUGAUUUUCUGUCUGCUAUCCUGAUUGGGUGAUUUCCAUUAUUCUGUCUUCUAAGUCACUGAUUCGUUCUUCUGCAUUAUUCAUUUUGCUCUUCAGUGCCUUUAACUCAGCUUGGAUCUCUGCAAAUGAAUUUUCUAAUUUUUGUUGGUUCCUUAUAUUUCCUAUUUCCUUCCUAAAAUAAUCUGCAUUACUGUUCAUGUCUUCUCUUAAUUCUUUCAUAUUCACUCUUAAAUCCUUCAGUAUUUUCACUAUCUCCUUUUUGAACUUGGUGUCUGUUAGACAGCACAGGUCUGUUUCAUUAUUUGCUCCUUAAGAUGAAUUCUCUUGUUCUUUUAACCAGUAAAUGGUUUCUGAGCUUCUUCAUUUUGCUUAUAUUUUUCUUGUUCUGUGAGUUUAGGGAAAACAACUACUGUAGUUUUGGAAGGCUAUUUAUAUGCAAGAGUGCCCCUGGGUAUUUUGUGAGGACUUACUAUUUAUUUUUAGGGUGCUGCACUUCCAGGGAGAUUGAGGCAAUGGGCAGGGGCCAAUAGCCAAUGCCUGGUUGCUGGGCCCUUGACAGUGGCAAGGACCCAUGGCACAGGCUGCUUCUAGUUGCAGGGCCGUGGGAUGUAGCAGCGACUCUCAGGCAAGUGUAUGUGGUGCCUGGAGUGUUUGGCAGUGGCAGGGAGUGUGUGUUCCCAGGGAAGUGAGAGCAACGAUGGAUGCUACUUGGUUCCAGUGUCCUCCUCUCUGCUGACCUCUGAGGUGACUGGACCCUUAGUGGUGGAAGGCCACCUCUGGAGUCUGAGAUGACUUCGUUUGCUUCUGCCAGCUUAGCCCAUGCAAGAGGCACCUUGCCAACCAUAGCCCUGCCCUCCGAGGGUCUGCAGGAGUGCCAAGAGAUAUACUCCUAUGGCAGUCCACCCCUUCUCCUCCUGCCCUCCGAUAAUAGUGCCUUGCUUCUCCUGUGGACCCAGACCUCCUCCUGGGUUCCCUUGGCUGUGGUGCUCCACUCCCUAGCCCUUGGCAUACUGCUCCUUGUCCCUCAGCCUAUCUGCACACAGCCAACCCUAGUCCUCUCCUUGGAACUGACCUCCAGAACCUAAGUCUCAGCAUUUCAGGCUGUGGUGUCCUCAGAGGUGAUGCCGUGCUGGGUGUGGCUCUUUCUCUGCUUUACCCUCCUCAGUCCAGCUGCUCUGCUUUUCUCUGAGGCUUUGAGGUCCCUCUGUCUUGGCUGAUCUCCCCGUCAGAAGCUUUCCAGGUGUGGGUUCCUUUCCUCUUUCCUAGCUCCCUCUCAGGAGUGCUAGUCCUGUCCUGAUUCUUUCUCUCUCUCUCUCUUUUUCCCCUUUUGUUCUACCCAGUUAUGUGGAAGGUUUCUUGCCCUUUUUGGAGGUUUAAGAUCUUCUGCUAGUGUUCAGGGUGGUAGAGGCAUGGAGACCAGUUUGAAGCAUUUUCUCACAUGAGAGAUUAUGACUUGGAUUAUAUAGUGGUACUUGCCUAGGAGGCGCCUUCUUUGUACCCCAGGAAUGUUGUUUGCUGAGCUAUUUUUCCACGGGGUGGAUUGGGUGACAGAGGGCAAAGAAGGUUAAAUCAGUUGCAAAAGGAGUGGUUUUUGUAUUACUAUAACUAGAUGUAGUAUCUCCCCUUCACCUUAGAGCUACUUCCCUGUUGUAUCCUUGAGUCAGGCAAUAACUGGCAUGUUCCUAUAUAAAUGGUUUAUCAUUCCCGCCAUCUCCCCUAAGUCCAUCCAUGUGGUCAUCCAAGCAUUAGUUCUCAGACUGAGAUGGUAGCUGUAGAAGGCAGUAGAAGGGACCAAUUGAGAAGUAUGUAGAAGAGGAGGCAGGACUCGAUGAUUAAUCAGUCCAUCAGCAAACACUUUCAGAGCACCUGCUCCGUGCCAAGGAUUGUGUUUGGCAUGUAGAAUAAAGGACGAAGAUAUGGGCGGAUAUUGGUGAGUGCUGAGAUUUCUCAAAGAAGCUUCUUGAAACAGUCCAGUGUAUGUUUCCUAGAAGCCAUCGCUUUAUCUAAUCUUUGGGAAAUAAUCGUAGAUAUUUGAGGAAUUUGGAAAGUGUUGCUCAUUCAGGAAAGGGGAGAGUGAAUUGUUUUUGAUGCGAUAAAUUCAAAAUAUCAAAGGCAUGGGGAAGUGUGAGGUUGCCAUAGAUGGUGGUUGACAGCCUAAAAGUAUAAGAAAUUCUCAAGGCAUGGACCAUAGGCCCCUGGAGGAUCGUGCAAGAGAAAUAGUGGAAGAAGGAGGAAACAGUUGCAGAGACUAGGAUUCAGAAGACCUUGGGAAGCAGGGCAGCAUCUUAGGGAGGCCUGGGCUUGGAAGUCAGGUGAGCUCUGUUGGGAACCCAAGGGUGGCCACUCACUCCGUGGCCUUGGGUAAGUGAUGGAACCCCCACUGGUCUGCUUUCUCCUUUGAGUUCCCAUCGUGGCGCAGGGGUUAACGAAUCUGACCAGGAACCAUGAGGUUGCGGGUUCGAUCCCUGGCCUUGCUCAGUGGGUUAACGAUCCAGCAUUGCUGUGACCUGGGAUGUAGGUUGCAGGUGCGGCUCGGAUCCCGAGUUGCUGUGGCUGUGGUGUAGGCCAGCAGGCAGCUACAGCUCCGAUUCAAUCCCUAGCCUGGGAACCUCCGUAUGCAGAGGGUGCGGCCCUAGAAAAGGCAAAAAGACAAAAAAAAAAAAAAAAAAAAA